rnacentral:rRNA from 1 species
AUUGAACGCUGGCGGCAGGCUUAACACAUGCAAGUCGAACGGUAACAUAAAGGCGCUUGCUUCUUUGAUGACGAGUGGCGGACGGGUGAGUAAUGCUUGGGAAUCUAGCUUAUGGAGGGGGAUAACUACGGGAAACUGUAGCUAAUACCGCGUAGAAUCGGGAGAUGAAAGUGUGGGACCUUCUGGCCACAUGCCAUAGGAUGAGCCCAAGUGGGAUUAGGUAGUUGGUGAGGUAAAGGCUCACCAAGCCGACGAUCUCUAGCUGGUCUGAGAGGAUGACCAGACACACUGGGACUGAGACACGGCCCAGACUCCUACGGGAGGCAGCAGUGGGGAAUAUUGCGCAAUGGGGGCAACCCUGACGCAGCCAUGCCGCGUGAAUGAAGAAGGCCUUCGGGUUGUAAAGUUCUUUCGGUAGCGAGGAAGGCAUUUAGUUUAAUAGACUAGGUGAUUGACGUUAACUACAGAAGAAGCACCGGCUAACUCCGUG